GGCGCGGUGGCUGAGUGGUAAAGCGCUUGGCUUCCGAACCGGGGGUCCCUGGUUCGAAUCCAGUCCACAUCC
rnacentral:tRNA from 1 species